rnacentral:rRNA from 1 species
CGGCAGGCCUAACACAUGCAAGUCGAGCGGUAGAGAGAAGCUUGCUUCUCUUGAGAGCGGCGGACGGGUGAGUAAUGCCUAGGAAUCUGCCUAGUGGUGGGGAUAACGUUCGGAAACGGACGCUAAUACCGCAUACGUCCUACGGGAGAAAGCGGGGGAUCUUCGGACCUCGCGCCAUUAGAUGAGCCUAGGUCGGAUUAGCUAGUUGGUGAGGUAAUGGCUUACCAAGGCGACGAUCCGUAACUGGUCUGAGAGGAUGAUCAGUCACACUGGAACUGAGACACGGUCCAGACUCCUACGGGAGGCAGCAGUGGGGAAUAUUGGACAAUGGGCGAAAGCCUGAUCCAGCCAUGCCGCGUGUGUGAAGAAGGUCUUCGGAUUGUAAAGCACUUUAAGUUGGGAGGAAGGGCAGUAACCUAAUACGUUAUUGUUUUGACGUUACCGACAGAAUAAGCACCGGCUAACUACGUG